rnacentral:rRNA from 1 species
GAUGAACGCUGGCGGCGUGCGUAACACAUGCAAGUUGGACGACGGUGUCAUGAAGUGGAAACACGGAAUGGCAUACGGAGUAGCGGACGGGUGAGUACAACAUGAGAAGCUGUCCUUCAGUGGGGGGCAACGUCUGGAAGCGGACGCUAAUACCCCAUAGGCCGAGAGGUUAAAGCAGAGAUGCGCUGGAGGAGGUGCUCGUGCCCUAUCAGCUAGUUGGUGAGGUAACGGCUUACCAAGGCGACGACGGGUAGCCGGCCUGAGAGGGUGAACGGCCACACUGGAACUGAGAUACGGUCCAGACUCCUACGGGAGGCAGCAGCUGGGGAAUAUUGGGCAAUGGGAGGAAUCCUGACCCAGCGACGCCGCGUGAACGAUGAAGGCCUUAGGGUUGUAAAGUUCUUUUAUGUGGGAAGAAGGAAGUGACGGUACCACAUGAAUAAGCCCCGCUAACUACC